rnacentral:rRNA from 1 species
UACGUAGGGUGCGAGCGUUAAUCGGAAUUACUGGGCGUAAAGCGUGCGCAGGCGGUUGGCAAAGUCAGCUGUGAAAGCCCCGGGCUUAACCUGGGAAUUGCGAUGGAGACUGCAAGGCUUGAAUCUGGCAGAGGGGGGUAGAAUUCCACGUGUAGCAGUGAAAUGCGUAGAGAUGUGGAGGAACACCGAUGGCGAAGGCAGCCCCCUGGGUCAAGAUUGACGCUCAUGCACGAAAGCGUGGGGAGCAAACAGG